UACGUAGGGUGCAAGCGUUGUCCGGAAUUAUUGGGCGUAAAGAGCUCGUAGGCGGUUUGUCGCGUCUGCUGUGAAAACUCGGGGCUUAACUCCGGGCCUGCAGUGGGUACGGGCAGACUAGAGUGCGGUAGGGGAGACUGGAAUUCCUGGUGUAGCGGUGAAAUGCGUAGAUAUCGAGAGGAACACCUGCGGCGAAGGCGGGUUGCUGGGCCGACACUGACGCUGAAGCGCGAAAGCCAGGGGAGCGAACGGG
rnacentral:rRNA from 1 species